GCUACUGAUGAGGUAGGAAGAUAAGCGGUGUGAGCUCAAGAGAAUUAUGGUGGCAAGUGUGGGUGAGUGGAAAGGAGUGGGGAGCAGGGUCAUUGGAGGUAAAGAUGCUGUCAUGGACCCAAAAAGUGGUGACCUGGACAAGCCUCAGAGAGUUGACAGCUGUCUUAUGUAGCACUAUGCCUGCUGCUGGGGUGAGUAGGGAAUCUUCUUGGCUCAAGCAAACACAUCAACUGAUCAUAUAAAUCCACAGGUUAAGAAUGAUGACAAUUGCCAAAUUUGCUACUGUUGCAGAAAAUAUUUAUAAGUAAGGCUAAAAAGAAUCAUGAGGUAAUGGAUUGAAGUAGAUGUACAAAUCAGUGUGAACUCAUGGUUGAAACAUAUCUGUACCUAUGACUGAAUCUAUGCCCAGAGAUACAGAAUAGAGAUAUAUAUGUGUAUGUGCAUAUAUGUAUGUAUGUGUGUGUGUGUGCAUGCAUACAUACAUUUCCUGGCUCUGUCCACCAAGAAGGCCUAGAAGCAUCAACACUUGGGUAGCAACGAGCACAAUAAAUAUCUGGUCCUUGGUUCCUAAAUGCAAACCCUAUAUUGAAGAAACCAAGAUUCUUUGGAGAAAUUGUUGAUUCUGGGCUAGGGCACUGUAUGUCCAACUUUUGUUAGGAUAAUUUGUUGUUGCAAAAAGUGAGAAAAUGCUCAAAGAAUGAUAUGAAUAUGCCACAUGCAAUAUCACUUUUGGGAUUCUCACCAGCCAAAUUUAGAACAACCGAAGCCUCAAAAUAGAUAAUAAUGGAGUUCCCACUGUGGCUCAGCAGGUUAAGAACCUUACCAGUGUCCAUGAGGACGUGGGUUUGAUCCUUGGCCUCAUGUAGUGAGUUAAAGGAUCUGGUGUUGCCGUGAGCUGUGGUGUAGGUCACAAACAUGGCUUGGAUCCUGCAUAACCUGGCAGCUACAGCUCCAGUUGGACCCUAGCCUGCAAAUUUCUGUAUGCCAUAAUAGGUGUGGCCCUUAAAAGCAAAAACGAAAACCAAAAAACCCCAAAUAAGUGAAUCAGAAAGUAAUUGGGGAAUAUGGAAAGCUUUUACUUACAGUAGAAUGCUAAUCACAAAUGUAGAAAAAUCAAUGGAAAAGAAAGACACCACAGACCUACUGUCAUUGUGGUAAUCAAUUCAGAAGAGAGUUGUUAAUGGAGGCUGAGCCGAUGGAUGGUGGUUUGGUAGGAAAUAGGAUAUUCAUAUAUCCUGGACUAUCUCCUUGUAAGCUGAAUGUAUCCGUUACAAAAGGUGGGGGAGGAAGGUGAUGAUGUGGAGGAAAGCUGGUUGUAACAUGACUGGGUGUUAAAGGUCAGCCUCCUCCCUGGUAGGCAACAUCAACAUUGUGGGCCCCUGAUUGAGGCAAAGAGAAAAGUGCCAUAUUUCUGUCAUUUUCCUCCAUGAAAGCAUAUCUUGAGUAUAGUAAUGAGGGACCCUCAGCUGGACCUAGAUUCAGCAUCACCCAGGACAGAGGAAUCCUUCCAGUUAGGAGAAAACUAAAGAGGCAUGACAACUAAAUGCAAUGUGUAUUCCUGAAUGGAAUUCUGAACCAGGGCGAAAAAGAGGUUUCAUGGGCACUCUUAGUGAAAUCUGAAUGGUAUCUCAUGAUUGAAAGGUUAUGUCACAUCAGUGAUGAUUUCCUAACUUGGAGGAUUAUAUAGUGAGGGUGAUGGGAUGUGCAAAGUAUAACUUGCUCAUAGGACUCAGAAAAAGGCUGGUGAUAAUGGACACACAAACACAUAUAGUGUUUGUGGGACUGAGGAGAGUUGACGCCUGGAGAGUUCUUUGUAUAAUCUGCUUAAAAUACAGUGGUGUUGACUAAGAUCUAUAGGUGCAAUUGUGACUUGAAAAUCUAACUCAGGGUCAAUAGUCAUCAUCAUAUUUCAGCACAAUUCAUAUUUCUGUUAAUCUUGGCACUGUUCUCUGGAAAGCCUUUCCUAAUUUCUGACUUGGCUUUUACAUUGGACCUGAAUUCUCAACAGUGUGACUAUAUCUCUCAGAGUCAUGAUCCACCAGCCUCUGGCCUUUCCCAGCCACACACAGUCAGGCCAGAACAGGUGAAGAUGAUCCUGUAGAUCUGUAACAGUAUUUUCUUGACUUCUCAGCUGUGAUUGCUGCACUACAGCCCCAAAGGAAUUGUUGGGGGUCAAAGAGAAGUUGGAGUUGGAGCUUGUGACAUGAUGUAGUUCAACACCUUCAUUUUAUAGCUGAGCAAACUGGGCCCCAGAAAGCUCCAAUAACCACCCUAAUAUGACCUGUGUAAGUAAUGGCAGAAGCAUUAUGAGGACCCGGUCUCUGCUCCCAGCCACUGCUCCUCCACAGCUGCUGUGUAGGAAUCCUGCUCUUGGUUCAUAGAGCCUCAUAAGUGCUGCAUCUUUGAUGGGAACGACAGCAUGCAGGGAUGCACACUAAUACUCACUUUAUUGAUCCCUCUAUCAGCCCUGCAGAGUACCAAGAGCCCGAACACUGUUAUGUUCCAUACUUUUAUGCCAUUGCACCCACCUCUUUCUUGCUCUGCUACACAUCAGGCAUAUUCCCGCCAAAGGGCUUGUCCUAAUUGGUUCAGGCAGCUAUCACAAGAUACUACAGAGUGGUGGGCCUAGACAACAAUCAUUUACUUUCCCAAUUCUGGAGGCUGAAAAAUCUUGGGAUUGGUAUGUUUGGCCUUUGGUGAGGGCUCUCUUCCUGGGUGAUGGGCAGGUACCUUUUUGCUGGGCCCUCAUUCAGUGGAGAGAAAAAGGGCUCCAGUCUUCUCACCUUCUUAGUAAAAGGAUACUAACCCCAUCACAGGGGCUUCACUUUCAUGACCUCAUCUAAACCUGAUUACCUUCCAAAAGUCCCACUUCCCAAUAUCAUCAUACUGGGAAUUAGGGCUACAACAUAUGGACUUGGGGGGAGGGGUACAAACAUUGGGCCAUAGCAAGGCCUUUGCUCUAACCCUUCCUCUGCUGGGCUUGCCCCUCCCAGAUAACCUCUUGACAAAUCCCCUUUCCUCCUUUAAGCCAUGUCCCACCUGCUCAGUAUGAUGGGCACUGACCUGCUUAUUCAAUUCUGUACCACCUGGAUCUCUACCAUCCCUUAUUUCCUUAUUUUGGUUCUACUGAUCCUUUUUUCCAUUAUCUUAAAAUUUCAUUUAUAGUGUUCAUUAUUCAUUGUCUGUUUCCCCUAUAUUUGAGAGCCACAAGAGCAAAGAUCUCAGUGUUACUGACUGAUGUAUCCCAUGUGCACAGGGUAAUGUCUGGUACAGAAUAUGUACAUGAUAAAUAUUUAUUGAGUGCUUCCAUCAGUUAUCCCACAAAUCCAUGUCUAAACCAAUCACAGGCAAUAGAAGUACCCUGACAGGUUUAGACAAAAAUGCACAUGGUUGGGGGUUCCUGUUGUGGCUCAGUAGAAAAGAAUCUGACUGGUUAACCAUAAAAAUGCAGGUUCGAUCCCUGGCCUCACUCAGAGGGUUAAGGAUCUGGCAUUGCCAUGAGAUGUGGUGUAGUUGGCAGACAUGGCUCAGAUCUGGUGUUGCUGUGGCUGUGGUGUAGGCCAGCGGCUACAGCUCCAAUUCUACCCCUAGCCUGGGAACCUCCAUAUGCCACAGGUGCGGCCCUAAAAAGCCAAAAACAAAAAAGAAAGAAAGAAAGACAUGCACAUGGUUGGCCCCACCCAAGAUUUGCUGAAUCAGAACCUCUGGGUUCGGGGCCCAAGAACUUGUGGCUGCACCUGCAGCAUGUAAAAAGCCCCAGGCCAGGGGUUGAACCUGCAUCAUAGCAGUGACAAUGCUGGAUCCUUAACCUGCUGAGCUGCCAGAGAACUCCUUAACAACUUGUGUUUUAACAAACUGUCUUAUUGAGUCUGCUGCAAGCUCAAGUUUGGAAACCAUUGGUUUUCAAAACCACUGACCCGUAACAGCUAUCUGAACAAACCAGAGGCAGGUGGGAAGGCAAAAACAAUGUAUAAAAAUUUGUAGCUAAAAAUUAUGCUCUUGAGAAAUCAGAGAGUCAUUUUCCAUGAAAGACAAACAAACAGAGUAGAAAGACCCUCUUCAAGGGUUGUGGCUGUGAGCAGAAAAUUUGGCUGCCCCCACUCCUACUGUUGCUGUAGGAAAGGAGCUGGUAUUUCAGCCACACUGCUCUUUCCUUUCCUCCUUGCCCAGCUGGCCAUACUCCAUAACCUGCCUAACCCUGUCCCUACCCCAUUCAGAGAGAAGGGCCAUUGUGGCCAUGAACACAUCACUUCAUAUCUCUGUACUUUCUCAUUUGUUCAAUGAAAGGGUCUGAGUUUCUUUGCAUGAUUCACAUUGUGUCUUUUGAUUACUUGGGGGCAUCUGGAGGGGAGGUUGCUUAAAAAAUAUCCCUAAUAUCAACUCCAGAUUUUAAGCAGUUACAGAAGGAUGCAAUCCAGACUCUCUUUUGGAAUAAAAAUAUCUUAUCAUUAAUUUGUUUAAAUAUACUUUGCUAACAUGACAAUUAUUUCUUGAGAGUCCAUCUUGUUGGUCAUUUUGAAGUCAUGAGAGAUAAAAGUCUCAGUCCUUUUUCCUGAAGGAAACCUAGUCCAGCAGGAAAUCAUAUGAGUAAAUCAAAGGUGAUACGGGAGUAAAAUACUAUCAGAAAGGACAAGGCAAGCGUCUCGCUGUAGUUGUAUCACAGGCUCUUAAGGGCAGGGAAGAGUAUAUCACUGGAAUGUUUUUUAUUAAAGAACAUCAAUAAUCACAGAGGAUUGAUAUUUCAACUAAGGGAAAAUGUGAUGAAGGUAGAGCAUUUUUAUACAUUCUUUUUUUAAUUUUUUAAAUUUUUUAUUUUUUAUUUUUGUCUUUUCAGGACCGCACCUGUGGCAUAAGGAGGUUCCCACGCUAGGGGUCUAAUUGGAGCUGUAGCCACCGGCCUACACCACAGCCACAGCAAUGUGGGAUCCAAGCCGUGUCUGCGACCUACACCACAGUUCAUGGCAAUGCCAGAUCCUUAACCCACUGAGCAAGGCCAGGGACUGAACCUAGAACCUCAUGGUUCCUGGUCGGAUUUAUUUCUGCUGUACCACAACAGGAACACCUACAUUUUUAUACUUUCUUCUAAAAUCAGAAUGACUUUCCUGUUAUUCUUUUUGCUCUUUCUGAUGCCCCAGUUAAUUUAUUUAAAAGGUAUCUGCUAUUUCUCUUAUCCUCUUGAUAGGAACUAAGUAAUAUUGAUACAUGGACUUUAGGUGAAUUGACAACCUCAAAUCGACAUAGUGGUACAGAUGACUAUGGAAAAUUAUACAGACAGAAGGCUCAGGACAGGACAGCACCAGGGAUAGCUCCCUCUUGAUCACAAGCACUAUGCUAGGGCAGUGAUGAUUCAGAGGAGGUCCACGGAAGACUGUUGGGCUGUUCCUUGUGGUGUGUUGAAUUGAUCAUGAUUAAUCACGUUUUCAAAUAUGUUUUUAUCAAACAGGUCUUUUUAUUACUCUAAAUUAUAUAAGAAUACCAAGAAACCAUAGCCACUAAGAAAAGGAGUAGUGGGUAUAAUUCUAAUCUGUGUUAAUUAGCCACUUGUGGAUCCUCAUUAUUUUAAAUAUUUUCAGUAUGUCAAAAACGUAAUAGACAUUACUCAUUUAACUGUAUUAAGAAUGUACUGCUAAGUAAAAUACCUACUUGAUUUUAGAUGAAAGCAUAUCCAUUUGUCAUGGUAAUAUUCAAGAUGAGAAGAAAUUCGAAUGCCUAGAUGGGAAAACUAGCCAAAAUCAUAUAAAGUUUCCAUGGUUUCUUGCAGAGAAAUGACUGCAGAAUGGUGUUUCUUGGUGGCCAGAGUAUUUAUUGCUUCAAGGGGCAAAGAUUGGGAGAAACACAGGACACCAAAGGCAAAUGGUUACAAACACGGCCCUUCACCCACUUAGAAUAAAAUUCCCAUUCCUUUGUGAAAGGUUUCCCCAGGAUUCUGACUCUGGUUUAUGAGAGGCUGGCCUGCUUACUGCUGUGCAGAGUAGAGUCACCAGUCUAACAUUUCUGGAGGGACAAGCAUUGGAAAAACUCCCUUUGGGACAUAAAUCUGUCUUUACUUUUUUCCAUUUAGGGCCAUUGUCUGAUCUCACAUGGAAGUCUUUCUUUAUUCUUUAUUUU
rnacentral:lncRNA from 1 species